CAUAGCUUUUUGUACAUGAUGC
rnacentral:siRNA from 1 species